AGGGGAAUAGCUGGGUCACUGGUGGCUCCAUUCUCAGCUUUCCAAGAAAUCUCCAUAUUGCUUUCCAAAUUGGCUGCACCAAUCUGCAGUCCCACCAGCAAU
rnacentral:pre_miRNA from 1 species